rnacentral:rRNA from 1 species
UACGUAGGGCGCAAGCGUUGUCCGGAAUUAUUGGGCGUAAAGAGCUCGUAGGCGGUUUGUCGCGUCUGCUGUGAAAUCCCGCGGCUCAACCUCGGGCUUGCAGUGGGUACGGGCAGACUAGAGUGCGGUAGGGGAGACUGGAAUUCCUGGUGUAGCGGUGGAAUGCGCAGAUAUCAGGAAGAACACCCGUGGCGAAGGCGGCUCUCUAGUACGGUACUGACGCUGAGACGCGAAAGCGUGGGGAGCGAACAGG